GGGGCUAUAGCUCAGCUGGGAGAGCGCUUGACUGGCAGUCAAGAGGUCAGGAGUUCGAUCCUCCUUAGCUCCA
rnacentral:tRNA from 1 species